GAUGAACGCUGGCGGCGUGCCUAAUACAUGCAAGUCGAGCGAAUGGAUUAAGAGCUUGCUCUUAUGAAGUUAGCGGCGGAUGGGUGAGUAACACGUGGGUAACCUGCCCAUAAGACUGGGAUAACUCCGGGAAACCGGGGCUAAUACCGGAUAACAUUUUGAACCGCAUGGUUCGAAAUUGAAAGGCGGCUUCGGCUGUCACUUAUGGAUGGACCGGCGUCGCAUUAGCUAGUUGGUGAGGUAACGGCUCACCAAGGCAACGAUGCGUAGCCGACCUGAGAGGCUGAUCGGCCACACUGGGACUGAGACACGGCCCAGACUCCUACGGGAGGCAGCAGUAGGGAAUCUUCCGCAAUGGACGAAAGUCUGACGGAGCAACGCCGCGUGAGUGAUGAAGGCUUUCGGGUCGUAAAACUCUGUUGUUAGGGAAGAACAAGUGCUAGUUGAAUAAGCUGGCACCUUGACGGUACCUAACCAGAAAGCCACGGCUAACUACGUGCCAGCCGCCGCCGUAA
rnacentral:rRNA from 1 species